CUUGACCUCAAAUCAGGUAGGACUACCCGCUGAACUUAAGCAUAUCAAUAAGCGGAGGAAAAGAAACUAACGAGGAUUCCCCUAGUAACUGCGAGUGAAGCGGGAAGAGCUCAAAUUUCGAAUCUGGCGG
rnacentral:rRNA from 3 species